UACGGAGGUUCCUAGCGUUGUUCGGAAUUACUGGGCGUAAAGGGAGCGCAGGCGGAUCGAUAAGUCUAAAGUGGAAUCCCGGGGCUCAACCUCGGACGUGCUUUGGAUACUGUCGGUCUUGAGUUCGUGAGAGGAAAGCGGAAUUCAGGGUGUAGCGGUGAAAUGCUUAGAUAUCCUGAGGAACACCAGUGGCGAAAGCGGCUUUCUGGCACGAAACUGACGCUGAGGCUCGAAAGCGUGGGUAGCGAACGGG
rnacentral:rRNA from 1 species